rnacentral:rRNA from 1 species
CCUACGGGAGGCAGCAGUGAGGAAUAUUGGUCAAUGGACGAGAGUCUGAACCAGCCAAGUAGCGUGAAGGAUGACUGCCCUAUGGGUUGUAAACUUCUUUUAUAUGGGAAUAAAAUGUUCCACGUGUGGGAUUUUGUAUGUACCAUAUGAAUAAGGAUCGGCUAACUCCGUGCCAGCAGCCGCGGUAAUACGGAGGAUCCGAGCGUUAUCCGGAUUUAUUGGGUUUAAAGGGAGCGUAGGUGGAUUGUUAAGUCAGUUGUGAAAGUUUGCGGCUCAACCGUAAAAUUGCAGUUGAAACUGGCAGACUUGAGUAUAGUAGAGGUGGGCGGAAUGCGUGGUGUAGCGGUGAAAUGCUUAGAUAUCACGAAGAACACCGAUUGCGAAGGCAGCUCACUGGACUGCAACUGACACUGAGGCUCGAAAGUGUGGGUAUCAAACAGGAUUAGAUACCCCUGUAGUC